rnacentral:sRNA from 1 species
GCCGGGCACAGUGGCACAUGCCUAUAAUCCCAGUGACUUGGAAGGCUGAGGCAGGAGGAUCACAAGUUUGAGGCCAGCCUCAGCAACUUAGGCCCCAAGAAACUUAUUGAGACCCUGUCUCAA